rnacentral:RNase_P_RNA from 1 species
ACUUUUGGUAGUUAGGAAAGUCCGAGCACAACAGGGCAGAGUGCGAGAUAACGUCUCGUGGAGGCGACUCUAAGGAUAGUGCAACAGAAAUAAACCACCACUUUAAAACGCUUUAUUGUGUUUUUAGAUUUGGAAAAUAUCCACAAUCUUACCUCCUAUUUUUUCGCAGUAAAGCAUAGUGGAAAGGGUGGAAAGGUGGUGUAAGAGACCACCGGCACGCCAGAAAUGGUGUGUGCUCUGUAAACCCCACUUUGUGCAAGAUAAGGAAGAACAAAACAGUUUGCCCGACUGCUUCCGAUAUACAUCGCUGGAGCGUGUUGGCGACAAUACGCCUAGAUAGAUGACCGUCCACGACAGAACUCGGCUUACAGACUAGUC